UCCUCUUUAGCCUCUUUUCCUGAGGAUGGACGUCUGCCUGUUUGCGUGGGCUGCCAACCAGGGUCCAAAGCAAUGACAAAAACAUCCUUCCAGCUCACUACUCGCUCCUGCGGCCUUGUCCCUCUCCAUACACUACCUCUUGUUUUCAGGAAGGCCAUGUUUCCUGACUGACAGAGAUUGGGGCUGGACUUUAUAUUCUCAGGAACACUGGCAUUCUGUGGCUUGUUUAUACUGUAUGUCAUACCAGGUGCUGUGAGGAGUGUCUGAGGAUAUAUGAUUAAACUGUUUUUAUGGUCGGAAUGUAACAAAUUGUUCUGCAUGCCUGUGAUGUCUGCUUGCUGUCCCAGUCUGCAACAAGGAGUUUUAGUGAACAGUGAGUCACAUGACAGAUGAUUGGCUCCCAUGCAGCAGGCCUUGGAAUUGGUGGGGAAAAGACUAGUCAGAGGUUUUCCACCUGUUGGACACAAACAUGUUGAUCCAGGGGCUAAAGGAGACAAGGAUUAGUUCUCUACCUCAACACAGAGAGAUUUCCUUCAUGCAUACAGAUGGUGUGUGCGUGUGUGUGUGUGUGUGUGUGUGUGUGCGUGCGUGCGUGUGUGUCUUAACUGACUUCGUCACAGUAGUUAUUGAGUCAGCGCACUGAGUCAUCGUUUCAGGGUUGCCUAGAGACAGUGGCAGGGUAAACGUUUCCUAUUGCGCAUUCGCUGAUGCUUGGCAUCAAUAUUUAUUCAAGCGCUGCAGUAAGAGGCCAAGAUAAAAUAAUUGAUGCAUUUUCAGGCGAUUGCAAUGAUAUUCAGCCACCCGUAAAACUUUACCUGUGGAUUAUGAGUUUUCCUUGUUUUUCAUGAUUAACUUUACUUUGGCACAAAAAUGUGUAUUGCCUGAAUUCAGUUAUUUGAAUGAAAAACAAUGUUGUUUCCCAAAGUGUCAAGUCAUGAAUGAAAGUUGUUUCAAUAUUGUUUCAAAACAGUGUUCCAUUCUGUGCUCUGUAUAACUGUUAAAUUCAUAAUUUGAUAGGCCUACUUAUAAAUAAUAACAUCUAUUACUAUAAUGAUAUUAUUAUUAUAAUAAUAUUUGCCCUCGUGUAAAAAUAAAUGCCUUUGUGUAUCGGACAGCACUGUGUGGUUCACCACCUAGUGGGCAAUUAAAGCUCCUACCACCAUGAAGGACUUGCCACUGAAGAAAAAAAUAUGAAAAACUCAGAGCAGAUUCAUUUGUGAAGGAGAUAUUACAUGUUUUAAAGCGUAACCACAAAAUAAAAAAAUCUGUCCUUAUUUAUGCACCCCCAUUUUGUUCUAAACAGAAACACAUUUCCUAAACAAACUUUUUUGUGCAAUUGAAGCGUGAACCUGCAGAAAAAAAAGACAAGAGCUGAAACCUACAUAAAUUGAUGUUUUUCCCAGGUUCACCACUUCAGAAAUGUCAACUGGACUUCAGGAAUAAGCUUAUUUGUUUCCAAUAGUGCGUUGACUGAUAGUUCAUGAAGUGGUUUUACAGGUUUCCUGUUGAAAGAUGCGUCAUAGCGGAAGAUCAAGUAUUGCCAACCAAAUAUUUACCAAGUAAUGCACAGAGUUUGGUUUGCUUGUGAAGAUAGUGUUUCCUUUUUUCUGUUUUGAUACCAACCACCUCAACAAGAAUAUUGUGAGUCCAAAAAGCAGGUGGAGACUCUUAAUUCACAUAUUCAUGGUUAAGACCUAAGGUCUCAGGUGUCCUCCAAGUUGUUGUAUCUGUCAGUGCACAAC